AUUGAACGCUGGCGGCAGGCUUAACACAUGCAAGUCGAACGAGUGGCGGACGGGUGAGUAAUGCUUGGGAAUCUGGCUUAUGGAGGGGGAUAACGACGGGAAACUGUCGCUAAUACCGCGUACCAUAGGAUGAGCCCAAGUGGGAUUAGGUAGUUGGUGGGGUAAUGGCCUACCAAGCCGACGAUCUCUAGCUGGUCUGAGAGGAUGACCAGCCACACCGGGACUGAGACACGGCCCGGACUCCUACGGGAGGCAGCAGUGGGGAAUAUUGCACAAUGGGCGCAAGCCUGAUGCAGCCAUGCCGCGUGUGUGAAGAAGGCCUUCGGGUUGUAAAGCACUUUCAGCGGGGAGGCGUUACCCGCAGAAGAAGCACCGGCUAACUCCGUGCCAGCAGCCGCGGUAAUUC
rnacentral:rRNA from 1 species